GAUCCUGGCUCGGGAUGAACGCUAGCGACAGGCUUAACACAUGCAAGUCGAGGGGCAGCAUGAUAAGUAGCAAUACUUAUUGAUGGCGACCGGCGCACGGGUGAGUAACGCGUAUGCAACUUACCUAUCAGAGGGGGAUAGCCCGGCUAAAGUCGGAUUAAUACUCCAUAAAACAGGGGUUCCGCAUGGGACUAUUUGUUAAAGAUUCAUCGCUGAUAGAUAGGCAUGCGUU
rnacentral:rRNA from 1 species